GACGAACGCUGGCGGCGUGCUUAACACAUGCAAGUCGAACGGAAAGGCCCUGCUUUUGUGGGGUGCUCGAGUGGCGAACGGGUGAGUAACACGUGAGUAACCUGCCCUUGACUUUGGGAUAACUUCAGGAAACUGGGGCUAAUACCGGAUAGGAGCUCCUGCUGCAUGGUGGGGGUUGGAAAGUUUCGGCGGUUGGGGAUGGACUCGCGGCUUAUCAGCUAGUUGGUGGGGUAGUGGCUUACCAAGGCUUUGACGGGUAGCCGGCCUGAGAGGGUGACCGGCCACAUUGGGACUGAGAUACGGCCCAGACUCCUACGGGAGGCAGCAGGGGGGAAUAUUGCACAAUGGGCGGAAGCCUGAUGCAGCAACGCCGCGUGCGGGAUGACGUCCUUCGGGUUGUAAACCGCUUUCGCCUGUGACGAAGAGUGAGUGACGGUAAUGGGUAAAGAAGCACCGGCUAACUACGUG
rnacentral:rRNA from 1 species